UGCAAGUCGAGCGGACAGAUGGGAGCUUGCUCCCUGAUGUUAGCGGCGGACGGGUGAGUAACACGUGGGUAACCUGCCUGUAAGACUGGGAUAACUCCGGGAAACCGGGGCUAAUACCGGAUGGUUGUUUGAACCGCAUGGUUCAAACAUAAAAGGUGGCUUCGGCUACCACUUACAGAUGGACCCGCGGCGCAUUAGCUAGUUGGUGAGGUAAUGGCUCACCAAGGCAACGAUGCGUAGCCGACCUGAGAGGGUGAUCGGCCACACUGGGACUGAGACACGGCCCAGACUCCUACGGGAGGCAGCAGUAGGGAAUCUUCCGCAAUGGACGAAAGUCUGACGGAGCAACGCCGCGUGAGUGAUGAAGGUUUUCGGAUCGUAAAGCUCUGUUGUUAGGGAAGAACAAGUACCGUUCGAAUAGGGCGGUACCUUGACGGUACCUAACCAGAAAGCCACGGCUAACUACGUGCCAGCAGCCGCGGUAAUACGUAGGUGGCAAGCGUUGUCCGGAAUUAUUGGGCGUAAAGGGCUCGCAGGCGGUUUCUUAAGUCUGAUGUGAAAGCCCCCGGCUCAACCGGGGAGGGUCAUUGGAAACUGGGGAACUUGAGUGCAGAAGAGGAGAGUGGAAUUCCACGUGUAGCGGUGAAAUGCGUAGAGAUGUGGAGGAACACCAGUGGCGAAGGCGACUCUCUGGUCUGUAACUGACGCUGAGGAGCGAAAGCGUGGGGAGCGAACAGGAUUAGAUACCCUGGUAGUCCACGCCGUAAACGAUGAGUGCUAAGUGUUAGGGGGGUUUCCGCCCCUUAGUGCUGCAGCUAACGCAUUAAGCACUCCGCCUGGGGAGUACGGUCGCAAGACUGAAACUCAAAGGAAUUGACGGGGGCCCGCACAAGCGGUGGAGCAUGUGGUUUAAUUCGAAGCAACGCGAAGAACCUUACCAGGUCUUGACAUCCUCUGACAAUCCUAGAGAUAGGACGUCCCCUUCGGGGGCAGAGUGACAGGUGGUGCAUGGUUGUCGUCAGCUCGUGUCGUGAGAUGUUGGGUUAAGUCCCGCAACGAGCGCAACCCUUGAUCUUAGUUGCCAGCAUUCAGUUGGGCACUCUAAGGUGACUGCCGGUGACAAACCGGAGGAAGGUGGGGAUGACGUCAAAUCAUCAUGCCCCUUAUGACCUGGGCUACACACGUGCUACAAUGGACAGAACAAAGGGCAGCGAAACCGCGAGGUUAAGCCAAUCCCACAAAUCUGUUCUCAGUUCGGAUCGCAGUCUGCAACUCGACUGCGUGAAGCUGGAAUCGCUAGUAAUCGCGGAUCA
rnacentral:rRNA from 1 species